GCUGGGUAUGGUGGCGCAUGCCUGUAAUCUCAGCUACUCAGGAGGCUGAGGCAGGAGAAUCACUUGAACCCAGGAGAUGGAGGUUGCAGUGGGCUGAGAUCAUGCCACUGCACUCUAGCCUGGGCGACAGAGUGACACUCUGUCUCAA
rnacentral:SRP_RNA from 1 species